GUGAAUCUUCGAAUUUUUGAACGCAAAUUGCACUCUCUUCGGAGAGUAUGCCUGUUUGAGGGUCAGCCUAAAAAAAAAUCGACGUAGUCGCUGUUUCGCGGUGACAUUCGUCGGAUAUUGGGUCAUCUUAAACCUUUGGGUUUUUUAAGCGGCUUAAAAUUUUCUUUACGAUUCCACGAACGUUUCUCAGAUUUUACUUCUUACACCCGUUUAAGGUAUCGAUCUUUUUUAUACUUGGCCGUUGCAUCGGAUCGUGCACAUAAAUAUUUCGUU
rnacentral:misc_RNA from 1 species